rnacentral:lncRNA from 1 species
UUUUUUUUUUUUUUUUUUACCAUUUGGGGGAGAUAGAUUUUCAAAUGGGAAAAGGAUGGAUGUAUUAUUAUUUAUUUUUAAAAUUAUGUGUGAAAAUUUCCUACAAACUCAGGGGCUUACCACAAUGUCCAGUUAUUUUUUCAUGGUUCUUUAGGGCAGAAGUCUGGGCAAGGUAUAACUGGGUUCUCUGCUCAGGGUCUCACAAAGUCAAGGUAUAAGUUGGGCUGAAAUCCUCCUUCGAGCUCAGGGUCCUCUUCGGAGCUUACAUAAUUAUCUGAAUCUGGUUAUUUGUGGCUGUAAAACUGAGGGCCCUACCUUCUUGCUUACUGUUGGCUGGGGGUUGAUCUCAGUUCUUAGAGGGGGCCCUCAAGUCCUUGCCACAUGGCUUUCUUUAUGCUUCCAGCCAGCAUCAGAAAAUCCCUGCAUGUCAGAUCUCUCUGACUUAGAGACGGGUCAUGUCCCUCUAAAGGAUUUACCUGGUUAGGUCCCUCCCUUUUGAAUGAUUCAAAGCCAACUGAUUGUUAACUUAAUCAUGGAGAUGAUAGUCCAUCAUAGGCAUAGUUUUACGCACAUUCAAAAGGAAGGAAAUAAUAAGGUAUGUGUACCAGGGAUGGAACUAUUGGAGGCCAACCCUAGGAUUCUGUCACCACUGUGGGUCCCUGUUUUAAGAGAGUGACUCUGGCAGAGUAUGAAUGAAAAUAGAUUAGAAAGGUAAGAAGAUACAGCCAAUCAGUGUCAUCUUGUGUGCCAAUUCCAAUCACAGGGGCUUCCUAGACUGUAGUGCUGAGGAUUCACCACAAUGGAAAGAGCCUCAUAAAUAAGCAAAGGAGGGGGGAAUAACAGUGAUACACUCUGCAUUUACCACCCCCAUUACCCCGACUUUUCGAGGGCAACCAGUAGUCCUGGAAAUAGACAAUGCCAAUCGACUGAAAUCAGAGCAGCUGCAGCCAAAAUAGAGAAGAUGCAGGAGAUACAGACACCAUGAGCCUGCGGGAGACCUUGGACAGGGAAUCGGAGGGAGAAGUGAAGCCGACUCUGCUUUGGAGCAUCCUAUGCAGGCAGAUCCCAUAGGUGGCCUCUAGCCAUCAGAAGUGGACACGUGUCCUGGGUAAGCGGGCAUUGGGAGCCUACAGAGGAGUCUCAGGGGCCAAAGCAAACCUCUUGGCAAAAGGCAAUUCCUCUGGUCUGGACACAAACAUUUUUUAUUAAAAAUAUAAGGGUCUGAGAUGUGCAUCUCCCAUAGGGACUUAUUUUUUGUACAGAGACCGUGAUCUGCUGGGCCAGUCUGUUUUGUCUUUUUUCAAACUGACCUUCACUGAUGUUUUUCUUCCAAGUUCCCUUGCCCAUCCUUACCUCUUGGUCUAGGAAGUUUCCCUGACAAGUUCUUUCUGCUUCUCCACUCAUGCAGUCUCAGGGGCUCUCUUCUCAAAGUAAGGCAAUUCAUUCAUCAGGACUGAUGAAGAAAACAUCCAUUUUUUUCCCUCCACUUUAUGUGCCGUCCCUUUGUCUACCACAGUUCACUGUUAACAAGUAUGCCAGAUACAUGGGGAUGUUUGGGGCAGUUGGGCAUCUGCAUGCAGAGCUCAGGAGAGAGAUUUAAGGACUGGGAACUUGAAAAAAAAAAAUGUGAACCUUCAUUUUUGUUUAACAUCAGCAUUAAAAAGAAAUCUCUGACUUUGCUGCAUUGGUGAAGGGAAAAUGUAAUGAAAAGGAUCAUAGUGUUAGCACAAUGGUUUUAUUUAUUUCACUAGCAUUUGUAGCCCUGUCCCAGUUUGAGCUUCUGGGAGUUCAGGGAGGUUAGUUUACCAUGAAAAUAAAAAGCUGCAGUUACAGCAAUAACCAUGAGUUGAGUGUCUACCCUGUGCCAAGUCAUUUAUAUAGGAAGCAAUGAUUAUGAAGUUGUUUAAGCAAGAGAACUUUGGAAUCAGAACGUUUGGGUCCAAAGCACAGUUUCCAACACAACUAUGUGAUUGUCAGUAGAUUACUUAUUUAACCUCUGUGUCUAUUUUACUAUGUGUAUAUGAUUAAAAAUAACAGCAGUUGUCUCUAGAUGUUUUCUGCAGACAAAUAAAUUAUACUACUUAAAGCCCUUAGAGUAGUGUCUUCUACAUGGCAAAUAUAAAUAAAUGUUAACUUCUAGUAUUUUGUGCAUCAUAAUAUUUUAUCCACACAGUUGUCUAUUGAGGAAGGGAGGGUUUUUCCAUUUUUCAGUGAGGAAACUGAGACUCCAAGAUGUAUUUUAAAAAAUGUCAAAUAGCUCAGAAUAUGAAAGAACAUGAAGUUGCAAUUUGAAUCCCAUCAUGUGACUAAUGAUCAUGUUCCUUCCACUCUGCUGUGAUCUUCUGGAUUUAUCCCGUAUGUUUGUAUUAAAUGUGGAUGAUUGCCAUUAAAAUAUUUCUUUUUCUCUUGAGUGAUUGUUCUGGACUAGAUAACAUUGACUCCUGUAUAGCCUAGUGUCUAGUGCACAGGGACUGCAUAACUGACAAGGAGUUGUAAUCAUCUAUUUUACUAUGAACUAUUUAGAACUGACCUAAACAGAUAUAGUUUUCUAAAUUUUUAGUAGAACUGUAUAGUUUACCUCUCUACUGGCUAGUUUCUCACACAAAAAAAGUCCUCUCUUUCUCUCUUUGGCAGAUUUGGAAGAAGGAUUUACAUUUUAAUCUUAUUUUCUUCUUUUACAUUUAUAUUGGAUGAUAGAGAAGUUGUAUACAGUAAAAUAGUAGGCAUCAAAUACAGUGGAAUCAGUGAAGAAUGGACAAAGGGGUUAAAAUGUCCUGAUUUUAUUCUUUGUUUCCAUUUAAAACAAAUAAGAAAGUGUAGUAUGAAAAAUUGAGAUACACUAGAUUAAGAAAAAAUUAUUUUAAUAACAUUGAAGGUUAUUUUUUAGGUGUUUUUAAUUUACUCUUUGUGUAUGCAGUUCCAUGCAUUUUAAUACAUGUAUAGACUUAUGUUAAGUAUCAGUACAAUCAUGACACAGAGCAAUUCCAUCAUCCCCAAAAGCUCCCUCAAAGCUUGUGUUUUAAGUGAGUCUUUGGAAAAAGAUAAAUAAUAAGAUUAAACUCAGAGAUAAAAAAAAAGAAUGAGAAGAUAAUGAAAAAAAAAGAUUCAAAAUUUGAAUAAAAUUUGAAGACCCGAGUUCUUCUCCUCACUCCGUUAAUUAUCUGUGUAAUUUUGUGAACAUCCUUAACUCUUUUAAGCUGCACUUCCUUCCUUCUUUUUUUGCCACACCCAUGGCAUGUGAAAGUCCAGUGGACCAGGGAUUGAACCUGCCCCACAGCAGCAACCUGAGCCACUGCAGUGACAAUGCUGGAUCCUUAACCCACUGCUCCACAAGAGAACUCUAAGCCCCAGUUUCUUCAUCUUUAAAAUAAGAAUGUUAGGCUUAAUGAGUCCUACUACUCAUACUUGGCUUCAAAUUCUGGAAUUACAAUUCCAUGUCAAAUCAUUGAACCCAAACAUUUCAGAAAGAAACCUUACUUUGAUUGCUGAAUAUAUUUCUUCCAUUCCUUUUUCAUGAUCUACUCUUGAGAUGUAGUCUUUUAUCUCAUGUUUAUGCCCAUUUCUUUCUACCUUUUGGAAAGAUGACUACAGCACAUAAAGUAAGUAGUGUCACAUUUCCCUUAAUUCCACAGCAGCGACAACACUGGAUCCUUAACCCACUGAGUCAUUAGGACAAACCCAGAUAAAGUGCUUAAUUCCUAGUUAUUACGUGUUACACACUUGCCAUUAUUUGCUUUUCCUUUGAGCGCACACAGCAAAACAAGAUCUGAAAUAUUCCAAAUUCUUAUUUAUACCUCCUAGCAUGUAUUCUGCAUUGGUCAGAAAAACUUAUGAUGAGGGCUUGCUUCAGCAUCAAAAAAUCCUAGUAAAGUUAAGAAUGCUGAUCCUGGCUCAUAUUUUAAGUAUGCUUGCAUUGCUGUCUCAUUUUCCAGUUUGCAAAGUGUUCAGACAUUUUUUUUUCCUGAAUUGAUUCUCAAACGUAUCCUUAAGGUAGUUAAGGAUAUGAAUAGUAUGAGACUAUUAUAGAAUCAAAUAAUUUCAAAGUGGGUGAUCACAUGUUCUAAAUUUUUAAGUCUCUGAGAAAUAAAGCAAUUUUCCCAAUGCCACACAAUUAGUUAGAAAUAUAAGUGAAAACACAUAUCUUCUGACUCCUGGGAAAUAUUCUUUUCAAAUAUUUGUUUUUAUUUCACAGAGAUAUGAACCCCAAGUAUGAGAAGCAUGUACUGCUAAAAUCCAUGGCAUUUUAUCUUGAAUUUAUUUACUCAUUCUUUUAAUUUCAGUAAAUGCAUAGUCUUAGCAGUGUUGAUGAUAUCAGAAUUACACUAAAACAGUAGUCAUUUGCUGCAUGUGGCUGUUUCAGUUAACUAAAAUGAAAACUCCACUUCCUCAGUCCCACUAGCCACACUUCAGGUGCCCAAUAGCUGGAUACAGCUAGUAGCUUCUGUUUCCGACAGUGCAAAUUAUAUAGAAUCUGUCAUCACGGAAAGUCCUACUGGAGAGCACUAUGUGAGGAGGUUAGCAUAUUUUGUUUCUUCCACAUGAAUUAUGAUUACAUUCUUGUUUUAACUGGUGCAUGCAGGUGGAAAGUAAGUACAGUUGGCAUAUCAAAAGAUGGAGAAAUAGUUGACUCUUCAAGAAAUAUUUUUCCCAUUCAAGAGAAAAUGAGUAUGUGUGAAAUUAAGAUGCUAAGUGCAACUAAGUAGAUCAACAUGAUAGGUAGUUAUAGAUGAUCAUGGUUUUUUUGUUUCUUUUUUUGUUUUUUUUUUUUUUUUUAAUCAGUGAUAGAGCAUUUUGGCAGCAGUAUUCAUUACAGGUCCCUGUCAGUGAAGUUCUAAACACUUUGAGUUAAUAUUAUUCCCUAACCAUGUAAACUUGAGCAUGAUAAUCUGUCAGAAAAGGGGAGAAGUAAGUACGGUCUAGAAGAACAACCUAGAAAGCUAAGUUGUCUUCUGGGAUAAAAGUCCAUAUUUACUUAUGUGCACACAGUCGAAUACUCACAAGCCUUUAUUCUGAUUGAACUGAAACCUUCAGGUUCACUUCUAUGAUGUCUACAAGGCAGGACUGUGCCUCUGACAGGACUUGGAUGGUGAAUUAAAUUAGCCUCCAACCACAGGUAUGGUGGGUUCUGUGAUCUCUUGACUCCCCUUACAGCCUCAUAGCCUUAGUGUGAAUUAUGUGGAGACCAUGGGAAAUUGUUGGCCUUAGAAGGGAAUUUCAUGGGAGAGGCAACAGAAAAUAAAUAAAUAAAUAAAGUGCUAGUGUUAAUAUGAAUUCAGAGUAAGAAAAUCUCAACAUAGAGUGAGAAAAGACAUUUCACAAAGCAACCUUGCACUUCCUUGGAAGCCUAAAUUGGAUUUUGAAAGGGAGAAAGAAAGGUAGGCUCUUGUGAGGCAGUGAUGAGGAGUCCUGAAGAUGCAUGGGAAUGCACUUGCAUUUUGGUGAGGGGGAGAGUUGGCACAGACCAUGAGAAGGACUGAUGGGAUCAGAAAGUGUGCACUUGAUUAGUCAUUAACAGCAUGGGCUAGAGAGAGAAGAUUCAGCAUGGCUAGAGCUUGAAAGCCAGUAUUGGCUGUGGAUGCUGCUGUCAGAGGCAGCUUUUGUUGACUCUUGGUUGAAGCAGGGUGUGACCAAACCUAUCUUUCAAGACGGAGUCCUGGAGGGUGUUGCUAAAGGACCUAGGAAGUCCUCUAACAUUUCUUGAGCACCACAUUAUCUUCCAGGCAUUGUUCUAGGCACUGGGGAAGCAGUAGAGCCAAGCCAGAGACUGAUGUUGAGAGCACUGGGCAGAAGACUGCAAGAUACCAAGAAAGAAAGAGCAGUCCUGAAGUACAGGAGACUUAAAUGCCCCUCAUAUACCAGAAGGAUGACAUCACAGAAAGAGAUGCGUUUCUUUUUUAGACCAUGGACAGUAACAUAUUUGUUUGUGAUCCCUGUUUUCUCUAAACUCAUUAUCAUAUUGAAGACUCACUGUUUCCAUGGAGGCGAAAAGAGUAACUGCCCUUUUAUUGGCUUUCACAUUAUGCAAGGAGGUCAGUGACGGGAAGAAGACCUGGUAAUUCUGGCAGGAAGCUCCAAAAGGUCACUUCUGCCUUUAUUUUUAGGAACUCUGAUGGGCAGAGGCCUUAGUCACUGCAGCUGUUUAUAAUUAGAAAGCAACAGGCCUUCGGUGAUUCAUUCAUUCAUCCCAAAACAAAACAGAGCAAGACAAAACUCACCAAACCCCUUAAAUGCUUACCUCUGCCCUUGAGAUAGUAACUAGGCAAUAGGAAGUGUUUGGUGAGGACAGCCUGGGGUGCGUAGGACCUGGUUCCAAGCUGAUGGUGUCCUUGUCUAUAGCAGGGGCUGUGGCCAUUUGUACAUAAACACCCAAGCUGAGAAACAGAUUAUUAAGUAAAUGAGGACAGUCAUAGAAGGUCUGCUUCCCUUCAUCCCUAGCAGGUAUAUGACUUGAAACCUUCUAAUCUUGAAAGCUCAUAUGUUUUC